GACGUAGGGGGCCAGCGUUGUUCGGAAUUACUGGGCGUAAAGGGUUCGUAGGCGGUGUGGCAAGUCGGGAGUGAAAUCUCUGGGCUCAACUCAGAGACUGCUUCCGAAACUGCUGUGCUGGAGUGAGGGAGAGGCGCGUGGAAUUGCAGGUGUAGCGGUGAAAUGCGUAGAUAUCUGCAGGAACACCAGUGGCGAAAGCGGCGCGCUGGACCACUACUGACGCUGAGGAACGAAAGCUAGGGGAGCAAACAGG
rnacentral:rRNA from 1 species